CUCUGCUAAACUACUUUCUUCUUCAUUCCUCUGAUCACUAUGUCUCUCCAAGUACAUAAGUGGUCCCGCAUCUUAGUUGUUCUCUCUGGUACAGUCACGAACUCAGCUCGUGUAGUGCUAGCUUGCGUGGAGACAGCUUGUGUAGAGCCGCUGCCUGCUUUCUCUCGUGCACAGCACACUUCUGCACUAUGACAUUUCUCAUCAAACAACUUCACAAGACAAGCCACAGCUUGGCCAUCUCUGCAACCACUUCUAACAAUGUCUUGACUUACAAGAGGGAUACUCCUCUGGCAGAAGCUGCCAAAAGGGGACAUGUCAAAAUUGUGGAGUUUCUCGUCAAACAUGGUGCUGAAAUUAGCCUUCCAAAUAUUGAGGGUUGCACUAUGCAGCUCUAAACAAUAAUAAGGAGCUUGUGGAAUUGUUGCGGAUAAAAGGUGCUCCUAUAGAGACAGAUUCUGUAUACGGAACACCUUUACAAGUUGCUGCUUCUCGUGGUCAAGUCUCUUGUCUCAUGGCGCAAACGUGGGCAAGCACAAUUUUCAGUUGCACUUUGUGCUGAUGAUAAUCUUGUUUAAAUCAUUGUUGGUUUUGUUUCUUGUAAUAACUUUAACUGGUUCCAUUUGGGGUUUGAGAAAUAUGGAUAAGGGAUGAACCAAACACACUGUAUUAACUUAAAUCAUUAAACUUUUGAAUGUGGAUAAUAGAUUGAUUUGUUUAACAUGUCAAGUUUGGUACUUUAGCCAAUCAUACUGAUAUGAUCUUUAUGAAUAUAUUUAUUGUAUUAACUUAUGAUAUAAUCUUGUGAGAUCAAUCCCUUUGCUGCUUUCCAUUUUGCAGCCAAAAUUUUCUUGUGCAGUUGUGGACACCCCUCUUGUAUGUGCAGUCAAGUCUCGUCCUCCAUUUGAGUGCCUGAAAUUGCUGCUUGAGGGUAAAGCAGACCCAAAUUUUUAUGUCGCUGGAUUAUGUCCUAUGCAAUGUGCUGCAAUGGAAAUCUGUUUAUAUUCCUUUUCUUUUCAGUACCCUUUUGCUUUGCAGCAUUUCCUCCCCUCCCCCUUCAUACAUACCUACAUACAUACAUACAUACAUACACACACACACACACGUCUCUCUCUCUCACUACACAGUACUUUCACUAGCAGAAAUUUUGCUGCUGUAGCUGCAUACUUCUACCCUAUUUAUUUUUUCCACGCCUGUUUCUGCCGACGUACAUUCCCCGCUGCUUCCAUCUCCCACCCCAAAUAAACAUCCUUAGCUUCAAAAAUGGAGGGUGCAACUGAAGAUCAAGCAAAAGGUUUCAAAUAGAUUAAUCUUACCACUAAGCAAAAUUUAGGCAUUAUAAUUUCUAAAACAAAAGAUAUGAUACGAAAUUAGUGAUAAUGUGAACUAGGAUAUAUAUAUGUACAACUAUAUCACCAAAACCAUGACUAGCCUAGGGGUGAAAUGCACACUUGUCAUACCAAAGAGGCCUAGGAUCGGUAUAAGGAAGAUGACUGGUCUGAAAAUGUCAUAGGUCAGAAUGACUUGAAAUUCGCACACUGCUUGAAUUUUGCAUGGUGCUUGAAAUUAGCCAUCUAACAUUGUUUAGGCGGCGAAAAAGAAAAUUUACUACUCCCUCUAUCCCACAAAGAUUGUCUCAUUUUGACCGGCACGAGUUUUAAGAAAGUGUAAUGAAAAGUGAAUUGAAAAAGUUAGUGGAAUGUGGGUCAUAUUUUAAUAUAUUAGUUUAUAGUAAAAUGUAAGUAAGAAUGGGUUAGUAGAAUAUGGGUCCACUACCAAAAAUGGUAAAAAGUGAGAUGAGACAAAUUUUGUGGGAUGGACGGAAAUGGAAAAAUGAGACAAUCUUUGUGGGACCGGGGGAGCAUUUUUUAGGUUUAUUUACAUAAUAAAAAGAUCUCCGAACGAAGAUCCGAGACUUAUGCACUGAUAUAGCUUCAAAUGCGGCUUAGCCCUAAAGGAGGUCGCGACCGGGCUUCGAACGAUGAAGUCGUCCUUGUUCAGCGAGAUACACAUCGCGGAUGCGAAGGCCACAGCCGAGACGCUCAAGGGCCUGCUGAAGACCGGGUUUUGGCACCACGGUGAGUUCCUGGACGCCACUGCUGAUCGAAAUUGUGGCAUGCACGGCGAAGAUCACAGACUCCGUGGAGGUGCUGUCGACAGAUGCCAAGUUCAAGAAACCCGACCCGGCAUUGACUGCAGUGAUUGAAUUAAAGACCAACUGAAGUUGUUGCCACUUAGGCUGACUCAAUGUACUAAAUUUUUAGUGCAUCGGACCUGCCCAUAUCUAUUUGGACUUACUUUGCU